GGGUUUGUUCAAAGUUUCCACAAAGGGCUGUCUGAAGGGCUCAGAUGCAGUUUGAAACAGCCAACCUGUGCAAACAGAGAAAAAUAUACAAUACUUGUUGUGGCAAAAGGCUUCGUCGCCUUUUUUCAACGGCGAAGCGCGGGGGAGAAACAGAAUGUCGAUACGUGGAGCAACACUGCCACCUGCAGAUCACAGAAAUCAAAACCCCACAGGACCAGAAGAAAAUCCAUCCAUUCUGUUGGGUUUUCGCGGAGAGGACUGGACAGCUUGGAUGCGAAAGUUGAGGGGGAUGCCCUUGAGAACCAGAGAAAGGAAGGAACCCUCUCGAAGGAGCCCUGCAAGACCACCCAUGGACCGCGGGCUCCUCUCCAGCGACCCGCGGAACCAAGGCUACACGGGUAGGAAGUCAGGGAAUCCGGGAAAUCCGGAGCUUGGUGAGCGGGGCUGCGCUCCGAUUGGCUGGUUCUUGGCCUGAGCGCAGGAACCCAGUGAGCCCCGCGCCAGUCUCCUGGCCGGGGUCGGUUGGGAGUUUUCUCCUGGACUCUGUUUCAAAGUCUUCAUUCACUGAGGAACCUGACCGGGGGCGUGGGGCUGAUGUGACACCAAAGUAUCCUAACUGAACUCCACAAGGAUGGUGAGUCAGGACACAGCAGUGUAAGCCCGUCAUUGGAGAACAUGCCAAAGAAUAUCCAGAAGAGAUCCCUA
ensembl:lncRNA